GCGGGCUUAGCUCAGUUGGUAGAGCGCGACCUUCCCAAGGUCGAAGCCGUGGGUUCGAAUCCCAUAGCCCGCU
rnacentral:tRNA from 1 species